GGCGACCACGUGUCCUUAUUUGAUUGGGUCGUCAUAUUUAACAAAACAAAAAAAUAAACAACUCUCGUUUCCUCCGCAAAAAUAAAACUAAACACGACUACUCUCUUUUCUCUCUGUCUCUCUCGCGACCAAACAGAAAAUCAUUGAUCUAUGAUUUUCGAUGAAUCAAGCCGUUUAUGUGUGUAAUCGAGGAAUCUGAGACGCCGAAAUCAUCAAGUCGACAGAAGCUGUUGUCCAUUGGCGGAGGAAGACCAAACUCAAUCGGAACCGAAAGUGAUUUGGAGUGAAAUCUGUGAUGGAAGCUCCAAAUUAGGUACAUUCUGUAGCUUGGAAUUCUAAUGGAACAAAUCUUGCUUCGGGUUCUGUUGAUCAAACGACUCGCAUUUGGAAUAUCGAACCACACGGUCAUGUGGAAAAUGCACACAGCAGGCAGAACUUAGUGGAGAGAAUAUAAACAUCACUUACAAACCUGAUGGGACACAUGUAGCUGUUGGUAAUAGGGUAUUGUCUCGAGCCCCAUCUCUUGUUAUGAGGUAACGUAAGCUCAUACCCUUGUUAAUCUUUUUGAUAAGGUUAAUGAGAUUGAUUGGAACAUGCCUGAAGAUUUUUUCUUCUUGAAUACUGGAGUUGGUGAGGAUUUGAAAUUAUGUACUUUCCUACACACGAUUCCCUAGCUAAGAAUUCAUUGUUUUUGAACUUCAGAAAAUGAUCUUAUUGGAAAGUUUUAUAUGUUCCUGAUUGAUUGUGAUCUUUAGUGGUACUGCAUUAAGAAUCUUAUAUGUUCCUAAACUGGUAUUGGUAAGGCAUACUGCCAAUUUUAAUCUCCUUAUGUGAAGUAAACCGUCUUUGCUCAUAUAUUUUGGUUUCUCUUUCACAGAGCAAAGUCGAAGAGCUGACCAAGAGUCUCUUGGAUUUGUGCUUCUGUACUUCUUAAGAGUAAGGUGUGUUGAUUUUUCGACUUGUUCUUUGUGUUCUUCUUAAAACUUGUGUUCUACUUAAGACAUGUUCUUUGUGUUCUUGGAUAUAUGUUCUUUUCGACUUCUAUACUUCUUAAGAGAAAGAAACUAGUUAACAUUGUUUUCUUUAGCAAGGUAUUGAUUUCUUUUUUGAGAUUUAGAGAUUGUGGACAAAAAUUUGAAACAUUUGAAGAGAACCCCACUUGAGAGAUACUAC